GGAAGAGCUCAAAUUUGAAAUCUAGUAGCCUUCGGCUGCUCGAGUUGUAAUCUAGAGAAGUGUUUUCCGUGCCGGCCCAUGUACAAGUCCCUUGGAACAGGGCGUCAUAGAGGGUGAGAAUCCCGUCCUUGACAUGGACCCCCGGUGCUCUGUGAUACACUUUCAACGAGUCGAGUUGUUUGGGAAUGCAGCUCAAAAUGGGUGGUGAAUUCCAUCUAAAGCUAAAUAUUGGCGAGAGACCGAUAGCGAACAAGUACCGUGAGGGAAAGAUGAAAAGCACUUUGGAAAGAGAGUUAAACAGUACGUGAAAUUGUUGAAAGGGAAACGAUUGAAGUCAGUCAUGCUCUUUGGUAUUUAUAUCAUUGAGUGGGGUCAACAUCAGUUUUGAUCGAUGGAUAAAGGCACUAGGAAGGUAGCACUCUCGGGUGAACUUAUAGCCUAGCGUCAUAUACAUUGAUUGGGACUGAGGAACGCAGCAUGCCUUUAUGGCCGGGAUUCGUCCACGUACAUGCUUAGGAUGUUGACAUAAUGGCUUUAAACGACCCGUCUUGAAACACG
rnacentral:rRNA from 1 species